rnacentral:rRNA from 1 species
UACAGAGGGUGCAAGCGUUAAUCGGAAUUACUGGGCGUAAAGCGCGCGUAGGUGGUUUGUUAAGUUGGAUGUGAAAUCCCCCGGCUCAACCGGGGAACGGGCGCCGAUACGACCGGCCUGGAGGGGGGUAGGGGGAGCCGGAACUCACGGUGGAGCGGUGAAAUGCGUUGAGAUCGUGAGGAACGCCCGUGGCGAAAGCGGGCUCCUGGACCUUGCCUGACGCUGAGACGCGAAAGCCAGGGGAGCGAACGGG